rnacentral:rRNA from 1 species
GAUGAACGCUGGCGGCGUGCUUAACACAUGCAAGUCGAGCGGAGGGGCGAACGGGUGAGUAACGCGUUAGUAACUGCCCCCCUCUCUGGGAUAACAGUUGGAAACGGCUGCUAAUACCGGAUAGUGGGGAUGGACUCGCGUCCUAUCAGCUUGUUGGUGGGGUAGUGGUCUAGCAAGGAGACGACGGGUAGCCGGCCUGAGAGGGCGACCUGCCACAUUGGGCAGAGAUUCGGGCCAAUCACCUACGGUAGGCAGCAGUUGGGAAGUUUGCACACUGGGUGAAUCCCGCAUGUAGCGACGCCGCGUGAUUUAGAUUGCCUUCGGGCUGUAAAAAUCUGUUCUAUGGGAGGCAGUACCAUAAGAAUAAGGUCCGGCUACAUACGUGCCAGCAGCCGCGGUAAUAC